GAGUUUGAUCCUGGCUCAGGAUUAACGCUGGCGGCAUGCCUAAUACAUGCAAGUCGAACGGAGUAGCAAUACUUAGUGGCGAACGGGUGAGUAACACGUAUCUAAUCUACCAUUUAGUGGGGAAUAACUGUUGGAAACGACAGCUAAUACCGCAUAAUAUUGCUGGAUAAUUUCCAGUAAUGAAAGGAGCUUUCAAGCUCCGCUGAUUGAUGAGGAUGCGGCGCAUUAGCUAGUUGGUAGGGUAAUGGCCUACCAAGGCAAUGAUGCGUAGCCGAUCUGAGAGGAUGAACGGCCACAUUGGGACUGAGACACGGCCCAAACUUCUACGGAAGGCAGCAGUAGGGAAUUUUUCACAAUGGGCGAAAGCCUGAUGGAGCAAUGCCGCGUGACUGAUGAAGGUCUUCGGAUUGUAAAGGUCUGUUGUAAGGGAAGAAAUGGUAAAACAGGAAAUGGUUUUAUCUAUGACGGUACCUUACCAGAAAGCCACGGCUAACUAUGUGCCAGCAGCCGCGGUAAUACAUAGGUGGCAAGCGUUAUCCGGAUUUAUUGGGCGUAAAGGGUGCGUAGACGGUUUUGCAAGUCUGAGGUUAAAUUUAGGAGCUCAACUCCUAAUCGCCUUGGAAACUACAAGACUAGAGUAUAGGAGAGGUUAGUGGAAUUCCAUGUGUAGCGGUGGA
rnacentral:rRNA from 1 species